rnacentral:rRNA from 1 species
GACGAACGCUGGCGGCGUGCUUAACACAUGCAAGUCGAACGGUGAAGCUCCAGCUUGCUGGAGUUGAUCAUUGGCGAACGGGUGAGUAACACGUGAGCAACCUGCCCCUGACUCUGGAAUAAGCGCUGGAAACGGCGUCUAAUACUGGAUACGAUAAGGGUCCGCAUGGGCACUUUCUGGAAAGUUUUUCUGUUGGGGAUGGUCUCGCGGCCUAACAGCUUGUUGGUGUGGUAAUGGCUCACCAAGCCGACGGCGGGUACCCAGCCUGGGAGGGCGACCGGGGACACUGGGACUGCGAGACGGAGCAGACUGGAAUGGGAGGCAACAGUGGGGAAUAUUACCCAAUGGGAGAGAGCCUGAUGAGGCGACGUCGGGUGAGGAAUGACGUCUUUUGGGUUGAGAACCUCUGUAAGCAGAGAAGAAGCGAUAGUGACGGUACCUGAAGAAGAAGCACCGGCUAACUACGUG